CUCUCUCUGGAAUUUCUCUUCCCCAGUGUCUUUACAAACUGUUUCAUCAGUCCAAGCUUUAUGUGCAAAGGAGGUAAUAAGACAUUACAUGGAUCUACAAGAGGUGUCUUCUUGAUACUUGACAGUCCUGGCUGGUAUGAUGUUCUUGUCUGUCAGUUGCCCAACUAUCUCAUAGACACAAGAAACAACGGUAUUUUGUGAAAUCUCACUGUAUUCCCAUUAACAUUCUAAUGACUUUUAAAUCUCCACAUAUUUCCAUGAGUAUCUUUCAUAGGCAAUGACAAGAAGUAAAAGUUCCAUAUUCUCAUAUGGUUCAUGAAGAUGAAUGGAGUGUGCAAUAGGAAUGGAGGGCUUCAAAUUGCCAUUAUGGAGAAGUACAGCUUUUAAACUUUGUUUUGAAGAGUCAAUAAACAAACGCCACUCUGCAAGAUCAUGAUUUUCAAAGUGGGCCUUCAACAGAAAAACACAUUUGUAGAACCACAUUUCUCUGCCAAAAAUAAGUUAUAUGAUGAACACAGUGCUCUAGCUGAUAUUUCUCAUUCAGUCUUGAUGCCAUCAGUUCUGCUUUAUCUUUUGAGAGGGAUAAGUCUCUGACAAAGUUAUUCACUUCAGCUUGAGAAAAUUUCUGAGAUUCAAAGCUAUCAUCAUCAUCAGCCAUGCAAUCUUCCUCAGCAGUACUGUCGUGACAGUCAGAAGCAUCAUCUGAUGUUUCACUACCAUCAUCUGGUGUAACUGGAAUUGGCAGAUUUCCAUUGUAAGGCACAUGUCUCAUUGCAGAAUCCAAAUUGGGUUACACAAUUUUGUGUUUAUUCUUCAUAGAAAAUCCUGUGACAAAAAUAACAGUCAUUAAAAUGGUCUUUUGGCUCCCUCCAUAUCAUUGGAAUGGCAAAAGGCAUGGACUCCUUCUUAUUAUUAUUAAACCAGUCACAUAAGCCAUUUGAGCAAGCUGAGCAGAUAAAAUGUGGUGCCCAUAACUUGUCCUGAUCUCCAAGAGGACGGUCAAAGUAUAGCUUAUAAAUCUUCUUGAUCUCUGGUGCUAUUGUAUGUUUUUGAGCUUUCAUAACAAAUUGUCCACAGACAUA